UACGAAGGGGGCUAGCGUUGCUCGGAAUCACUGGGCGUAAAGGGUGCGUAGGCGGGUCUUUAAGUCAGGGGUGAAAUCCUGGAGCUCAACUCCAGAACUGCCUUUGAUACUGAAGAUCUUGAGUCCGGGAGAGGUGAGUGGAACUGCGAGUGUAGAGGUGAAAUUCGUAGAUAUUCGCAAGAACACCAGUGGUGAAGGCGGCUCACUGGCCCGGUACUGACGCUGAGGCACGAAAGCGUGGGGAGCAAACAGG
rnacentral:rRNA from 1 species